rnacentral:rRNA from 1 species
AUUGAACGCUGGCGGCAGGCCUAACACAUGCAAGUCGAACGAGUGGCGGACGGGUGAGUAAUGUCUGGGAAACUGCCUGAUGGAGGGGGAUAACUACUGGAAACGGUAGCUAAUACCGCAUACCAUCAGAUGUGCCGCGAUGGGAUUAGCUUGUUGGUGGGGUAACGGCUCACCAAGGCGACGAUCCCGAGCUGGUCUGAGAGGAUGACCAGCCACACUGGCACUUAGACAAGGGCCAGACGCCUACGGUAGGCAGCAGUGGGGAAGAUUGGACAAUGGGCGCAAGCCGGAUGCAGCCAUGCCGCGUGUAUGAAGAAGGCCUUCGGGUUGUAAAGUACGUUCAGCGGGGAGGCGUUACCCGCAGAAGAAGCACCGGCUAACUCCGUGCCAGCAGCCGCGGUAAUUC